rnacentral:rRNA from 1 species
AGAACAACCCCGGGAAACUGGGGCUAAUUCUUGAUAGGUGAAGAACUCUGGAAUGAGUCUUUGUCUAAAUGGACUCACGUUAUCCUCGUGAGUUUGCCUAAGGAUGAGGCCGCGACCGAUCAGGUUGUUGGCGAGGUAAUGGCUCACCAAGCCUUUUACCGGUGCGGGCCGUGGGAGCGGGAGCCCGGAGAUGGGUACUGAGACAAGGACCCAGGCCCUACGGGGCGCAGCAGUCGCGAAACCUUUGCAAUACACGAAAGUGUGACAGGGCUAUCCCGAGUGCCAUCCGCUGAGGAAGGCUUUUACCCAGUCUAGAAAGCUGGGGGAAUAAGGAGAGGGCAAGUCUGGUGUCAGCCGCCGCGGUAAUACCAGCUCUCCGAGUGGUGUGGAUGUUUAUUGGGCCUAAAGCAUCCGUAGCUGGCUAGGUAAGUCCCUUGUUAAAUCCACCGAAUUAAUCGUUGGAUCGCGGGGGAUACUGCUUGGCUAGGGGACGAGAGAGGCAAACGGUAUUUUCGGGGUAGGGGUGAAAUCCUAUAAUCCCGGGAAGACCACCAGUGGCGAAGGCUGUUUGCUAGAACGCGCCCGACGGUGAGGGAUGAAAGCUGGGGGAGCGAACCGGAUUAGAUACCCGGGUAGUCCCAGCUGUAAACGAUGCAGACUAGGUGUUUGGACGGCCACGUGCCGUUCUAGUGCCGCAGGGAAGCUGUUAAGUCUGCCGCCUGGGGAGUACGAUCGCAAGAUUGAAACUUAA